rnacentral:RNase_P_RNA from 3 species
GAAGUUCGCCAGGCAGUCGCUGUGCACCUCAGGGUGCGUGGAGGAAAGUCCGGGCCCCGCAGAGCAGGAUGCCGGCUAACGGCCGGGCGUCGUGAGGCGACGGAAAGUGCAACAGAGAGCAGACCGCCGAUGGCUUUCGCAAGAAAGAUCAGGUAAGGGUGAAAGGGUGGGGUAAGAGCCCACCGCAGGACUGGCAACAGGACUGGCACGGUAAACCCCAUCCGGGGCAAGGCCAAAUAGGGGAGUAAUGGCGUGGCUCGCGUCGCUCCCGGGUAGGCUGCUAGAGCUUCACGGUAACGUGUCGCCCAGAGGAAUGACUGCCCGAUGGUCCGGUUUGCGCUGGAUCGUUCGACAGAACCCGGCUUAUCGGCGAACUUCCCAA